GCUGUAAUUGUUAUAUGGUUAUAUGUAGAGUAGGUUAGCCUAUGAUUAGCGUUUGUCGGCACUGGGCCUGUACUCGCAGGUGUUUAGAAGAAUGAGGGG